rnacentral:rRNA from 1 species
AUACGUAGGUGACAAGCGUUAUCCGGAUUUACUGGGCGUAAAGGGCGUGUAGGCGGUCUUGCAAGUCAGAAGUGAAAUUCCUGAGCUCAACUCGGGCGCUGCUUCUGAAACUGCAGGACUUGAGUGCUGGAGGGGAUAGCGGAAUUCCUAGUGGAGCGGUAAAAUGCGAAGAUAUUAGGAAGAACACCGGUGGCGAAGGCGGCUAUCUGGACAGUAACUGGCGCUGAGGCGCGAAAGCGUGGGGAGCAAACAGGAUUAGAUACCCGGGUAGUCCACGCCGUAAACGAUGAAUACUAGGUGUAGGGGGUAUCGACUCCCUCUGUGCCGCAGUUAACACAAUAAGUAUUCCGCCUGGGGAGUACGGCCGCAAGGAUGAAACUCAAAGGAAUUGACGGGG